AUUGAACGCUGGCGGCAUGCUUUACACAUGCAAGUCGAACGGUAACAGGCCGCAAGGUGCUGACGAGUGGCGAACGGGUGAGUAAUGCAUCGGAACGUGCCCAGUCGUGGGGGAUAACGCAGCGAAAGCUGCGCUAAUACCGCAUACGAUCUAUGGAUGAAAGCGGGGGACCGUAAGGCCUCGCGCGAUUGGAGCGGCCGAUGUCAGAUUAGGUAGUUGGUGGGGUAAAGGCUCACCAAGCCGACGAUCUGUAGCUGGUCUGAGAGGACGACCAGCCACACUGGGACUGAGACACGGCCCAGACUCCUACGGGAGGCAGCAGUGGGGAAUUUUGGACAAUGGGCGCAAGCCUGAUCCAGCAAUGCCGCGUGCAGGAAGAAGGCCUUCGGGUUGUAAACUGCUUUGUUACGGAACGAAACGGCUCUGGUUAAUACCUGGGCUAAUGACGGUACCGUAAGAAUAAGACACCGGCUAACUACGUGCCAGC
rnacentral:rRNA from 1 species